AAUUUAAAGCCUAUCAAAGCUUUUUCAAUUUAUAUUUAUUAAAAAAAAUUACUUUCAUUUUUUCAAUAUACAUUUUAGAAUUACAUAUCGCGUGAACCUUAAAAUUAUGAAAACGUAAUUCAUUCUAUCGUAUUCUGUACGUUUUCAUUUCGUAUAGAUAUACUAAUACAGAUUAACACAUAUUAUAGUGUAUUUAUAAAGAAAUAUGUGUGAUGAAUGUGUUUAUCAGGCGCGAAGAAUCUGUUUCUGAAAUUUCGCGCCCGACGCUGCGACGUCGAGAGGUCGAACUCGUUCCAAUGUAUUCGAGCCGUUGCAGUGCUAGCAGUCGUAAAUUGUCUGUCUUCAGCGAAAGGGUAGUGAGUGAUUCAACGACUCAACGAAUCCUCACGGGUGACUACACCAAAGGGAACAAAGGCCGUAUACGAAGAUGUGCGGUGGUUUUACGUGCUCUAAAAAUGCUUUGACGGCCUUAAACAUCCUUUAUAUCGUUGUUGCAUUUAUUUUAAUUGGUGUAGCUGUUUAUGGAAGAGCUUCUGCAUUAGUCACAAACCUUCCUAUAAUUGGAGGUAUUUUAGCAUGUGGUGUUAUUUUGAUUCUAAUUUCUAUACUUGGACUGAUUGGUGCUGUUAAACAUCAUCAAGUUCUAUUAUUCUUUUACAUGCUUAUUUUAUUUCUACUGUUCUUAAUCCAAUUUAGUAUCGCGUGUGCUUGCCUUGCUGUUAAUACCAAACAACAAGAACAAUUAGCAGAACAGGGUUGGAAGCAUGCAAAUGAAUUAAUAGAUAAGGUUCAAGAAACUUUCAAAUGUUGUGGUUUCAAUGGCACUGAAAUCACGUAUAUGAAUAAUUCAGAUCCAUUUAUUGAAUCUUGCAAAAUUAAAUAUUGUUGCCAAUAUCCUACAAAUACUGAUUGUGAAUGUCCAUCUUGUAUGCAAAAAUUACAAUCUACGAUUGAUUAUGCCUUUAAAUUAUGUGGCAGCAUAGGAUUGUUCUUCAGUUUUACAGAGUUUGUCGGUGUUUGGUUGACCGUGCGAUACAGGAAUCAGAAAGAUCCACGAGCUAAUCCUAGCGCUUUCCUCUAGUCUAACACCAUCGCCAUGUCCUCUGUCACCUCAUAUGAUCCUCCUAAUAGAUGGUGAUUGCAGCUUUCUUGGCAAAACGUUACAGAAAUCAACUAUAUCAACAUUCAAAAGCUGUUUUUCCUUAAUAUACUUUUAUUUCUUUUCUCAACAUACUUUAUAGCAUUUAAAUACAAAUAUUUCUCCAAAUUAAAACUAGAUUCUAAUAAGUAAUAGGUAAAUCAGUUGUAAUCAAAGUUUUGAUCGCUUUGACUUGCAUUUGGAAAUAUUAGGUUAUUUAAUAGCCAAGACAUAAUUCUUAUUUCAUAGUACAAAUACCAUCUUGCAUAUAACACUUGCAUAUGAUUCUUGAGAAACUGUUGGUAUUUCACUGCAGUUUAUAACGCUCAACAGGGAAGAAACGAAACAGCACAAAUGAAACAGUUAUAGAUUUUUAGAACGGAUAGAUAACUAAUAGUUAAAAUGUGUGCUCUAGUCAUCCAUUUAGAACAAUCGUACUAAGCCUCAAUGCGCCUUGUAGUUUAAUAUUUAGAUACGUUUGUGCAAGCGCGUUUCUAUAAAACUUUGUUUAUUUAUGCAGCAUAAUUUAUAAUAUGAUUCACUAAUUCUCAUUAUCAAAUGUUUAUUUUCUGUCAACAAAGCUUUUAAAAGAAAUGAUUUCAGGUAUGUUCUAGAAAACGUAUAUCCUUUUAUGUUAUAUCUGUAUAAUAUUUAUAUAUCUACAUAAAUUCUUCUAAUUUAGUAGAAACAUUUUCUACUUUGAUUUCCAAUAAUAUCUUUAUAAUAUCAAUAAAUAUUUUCCAAAAUUAUAUUUUUGCAUUCGCAAUGCAAUAUACAUUCGCAAAUUAUUUAAUUUGUGAAGUUUUCAAAAUAAAUAUUUCUUUCUUGAACUAAUCAGACAAAUUUAGAUCAAAUUAUUUUUUAUCAAAAUAUAAUAAAAGAAUACAUUCAUUGUGUAUUAUGAAGUAUUAAUAGUUAGUAUUUCGCUAAUGAAUCAAACAUUAAUCCUACAAUAAAGUAUCACGUGAUAAUUAAUAGAAUUCUUUAAUCUUGAGAUAUUAUCAUAAUACUGCCGUAUGUAUAAUGUAUAAUGGUUUCAAAAUCACUUUAUUACCAAUUUUUUAUUUAUAAUCUGCUUCCUCUAAUUUUUAUACUUACUUCUUUCAUUAUAAAGAUCUAUUAAACUGUAUUCCUAAAUCUCAUGUAUAAUGUGUUUAAAAAAUAUUGCAAUUAAAGAUUUUGAAUUAUUCUACCUAAAGAUAAAAUAUCAUUAUCUUAACAAAUUAUGCUUAGAAGCUUAAAAUGUUCAAUGUUUACGUGAAUUUAUUUAAUUUUAUAAACAAUUUAAAUUUUAAAUAAAAAAACAAUCAUAAUUAUCUAUCGUACUUGGAAUGUUAAUUAUAUAUUGCAUUAUACAAUAAAUAUCUUAUUAAAGUAAAUGCUUAGAUUGUGCAUAUUCACGUUUGAUUUGUUUUGUGCAAGUAGUAACAUUAUUUUGAUUUAAAUAAGAAAUAACAUGGUAACAACGCAUGAAUUUUUUUAAGUAGUAAACUGAAUUAUUUAAAAAAUUGAGGAACAAUUUAGUGAAAAGAAUUAUGCAGCGAAGAUUUAAUAAAAACAUUAUCCUAACAUUCCAAUUAUUAUAUUCUUUUAUUUUUAUAUAAAUUAAUAAUUGUAACAAUGAAUUAAUUAUAAAUUAUACUUAACAUUCGUCGUAUAAUUUUUCUAUGUGUGGAAUAUCAUAUGAGAGAGUAUAAAUAAACACAUAUAUCUGAAAAUAAAUAAUAUAUGCAAUGAUAUAAUUCAUGUAUGUAAUUAUUUCGAAAGUGAAAACGCAAUUCACAUGAUAUGAUGUUUUCAAAUUUCGUUAGAAAUCUCAAGACAAUUUAUAGCGAAAGCACAGAUUGAUAAGAGCAUGAAUUAAAGAUAUAGACACAUACAUAUUUUACUGUCUUAAGUUAAUAGGUAAUUAACUAAUGUAGUUACACAUUAUGUUUUUCUAUAUAUUAAUUAUAAUUAUUUAUGGUCAUUUAUUAUAUUAAUUAUAUUCAAAACCACAAAAACAUUAAUUAAAUACAUUUGUUUUGAAGAAAGGUAUAUUUACGUCAGUAUUAAUAUGAAUAUGAUAUAAAAAUACAUAAACGAUAUAGGAUAUUAAGAUAUGUGCCGGAUAUUAAGAUAUGUAUAUAUAUUAAAUUAACACUAAUAUUUAACAUUGAUUUUAAAUGUUUCGUUCGAUUUAAAUAUUUUUUAAUCGGUAGGAAUGUUUACAAACAUAACAAAUUAUAUGCUGCGAUUAAUUUCGACCAGUUUUAAUUAUCACAUUUCUGGUACUGCUUAGUUAUUGUUAUUAUUCCAUCUUGUAAUGUUUUUUCUUUAAAUAAAUAUAUAUAAAACCUGCAAA